UACAGAGGUCUCAAGCGUUGUCCGGAUUUAUUGGGCGUAAAGAGCGUGUAGGCGGCCAGGUAGGUCUGCUGUGAAAACUCGAGGCUCAACCUCGAGAUGUCGGCGGAAACCAUCUGGCUAGAGUCCGGAAGAGGAGAGUGGAAUUCCUGGUGUAGCGGUGAAAUGCGCAGAUAUCAGGAAGAACACCUAUGGCGAAGGCAGCUCUCUGGGACGGUACUGACGCUGAGACGCGAAAGCGUGGGGAGCGAACAGG
rnacentral:rRNA from 1 species